rnacentral:rRNA from 1 species
CAGUAGCCGCGGUAAUACGAAGGGGGCUAGCGUUGUUCGGAUUAACUGGGCGUAAAGGGCGCGUAGGCGGGUUUUUAAGUCAGAGGUGAAAUCCCAAGGCUCAACCUUGGAACUGCCUUUGAUACUGGAAGUCUUGAGUCCGGGAGAGGUGAGUGGAACUGCGAGUGUAGAGGUGAAAUUCGUAGAUAUUAGGAAGAACACCAGUGGCGAAGGCGGCUCACUGGCCCGGAACUGACGCUGAGGUACGAAAGCGUGGGGAGCAAACAGGAUUAGAUACCCCCGUAGUCCCUGUCUCUUAUAC